UUAGCGUAGCCAGUAAACCUUACCGGCAUGUUUUUGGGAGAUGGGAGGAAAUCGGAGAACCCGGCGGAAACCCACAUGGACACAGGGAGCAUGUGAAACUCCACAUAGACAGUAAUCUGAGAUCAGGAUUGAACAGAUUUCAACAUUCCAGAGAAGACAGCUACUGAGCGGAACGCAUCUGAAUGACACUGCAGAAAUUCCUCUAGCACAACAUAGAAAAGAACCAGUCCAGUAAUGAUGUCUGUUUUGUAAUGUGGUUCGGGUCACAGGGGAGCCUGGAGCCUAUCUCAGGGAUCUCAGGGCACACGGCAGGGGACAGCCUGGAUAGGGUGCCAAUCCAUUGCAGGGAACAAAUGCACACAUGGUCUCACACUGCAAUCAAUUUAGAGAUGCCAAUCAGCCUACAACAGAUGUCUUUAGACCGGGGGGAGGAAACCGGAGUACCUGGAGCAAACCACCAACCCCAGAGGUGUUAGGCAAACCUGCUAACCACUAAGCCACGGUGGCCCCCAUAUAGAUUACAGUACAAUGAAAUUAUUUUUCUUUACAUAUCCCAGUUGUUAUAAAGCUGGAGUCAGACUGCAGGGACAGCCAUGAUACAGCAGUGGCAGCUUGAACCUCCAAAUUUCUGAUCAUUAACCCUGAGCCUUAACCACUCACCACUGUCACAACUGCUAUGCCUGAUGCACACAUAUCAAAUCAUCACCCACUAAGAUGCCACUACCCAAAAUGUUCAGUGGUCCUUUUGGUAUGGUGGCUCUUUUCCACCGAUUAUGCACCUACAAAGUGACUUACAGUGCUGUGAAAAAGUAUCUGAUUUCUUCUGGUUUUUGUAUCAUUUAAAAAAAACAAACUGUUUUUAAAUGAUAGUCAUUUAUUGAAGCAAAAAAGUCAUCCAACACCAACCACGCCUGUGUGAAAUCGACUGAGUUGAAAGUGGAACUAUUUGGAAGACAUGUCCCGUUACAUCUGGCAUAAACCAAACACAGAACUCCACAAAAAGAACAUCAUACCUACAGUCAGGCAUGGUGGUGGAGUGUGAUGGUGUGGGGAUGCUUUGAUGCUUCAGGGACUGGGCAACUUGCAGUAAUCGAGUGAAACAUGAAUUCUGCUCUCUACCAGAAAAUCCUAAGGGAGAAUGUCCGGUCUUCAGUCCAUAAAUUGAAACGCAAGCGCAAGUGGAUUAUGCAGCAAGACAAUGAUCCAAAGCACAAGUUAAUCUGAAGUUAUCAGAAGCAUUUGGUUGCAGUUAUUGCUGCUAAACAGUCUGCCUAAAGUACUGAAGGUUUUAAUGUCUAAAACCUUGCUAGUUCAGUGUGAUUUCCUCACAAUUCACAUAGUGUUAACAUAAUCCAAAUAAGAUUUCAUGAGAAUGCGGGUGGGAAGAAAUAACUAUAGUAUUAAAUUAACCUGAUUAAUGCAUAUGCAAUAUGAUAGUGAAGCGAGUAACGUCACUGCUUUACAAAACCAGUGGCCUGAGUCUGAUCCUGAGCUCUGGUGAGGGCAGGGGGUUUGAUUUUAUUCAAGGUUUUAAAAACACAUCGUCACAUCAUGUUGGAUGUACAAAAACAAAUCGGGUUAACGUAACUCAGGUCCUCCACGUGGAACCAAUGUAGACAUUUGAAUUACGUAAAUUCAGUGAGCUUUUUCCCCCAAUGUGGAUACGGACCUAAUCAGUCCAUGUCCGCAACGCUCGCGAAGCCCUCACGUCAUCAUCAAAACAGGGAAGAGUGCUUACAAAUUCUGUACAGAUGAGAGCAGAUGAAGUUUUUAAAAGGUUUUAAUGGCCUAAUAAAAAGACAUUAAUUAGAGGAAAUUUAGCCAACAGAACAGAACUCAUUGCAUUACUCAGUGAUUAUUUCACCACCGGUGUUAGCAUGAGCCGAGAUCAGUGGAAUAACGAGACCUCAAGGCUCAUGUUUAAAGAUUGAUGUCGCAGUAAAUGACAGUGUUGUUGUUUUCCCAUAAGUAGAUUAGGUUAUAAAUGUAUAAAUAAAAUAGGCGAGAUGUAUUUCAGUGGAAUUGGAAUGAAAUCUUUAAUUGUGAUUUUGUCCUUUUACAGUUUUGGGAGCUUUCAAAUGCUUUAACUGAGAUGAUUGUGAUACUGAAUCUGAAGAUUCAGGAAAGCCUGUAGAUUUUAGAGCUACAGUUCUGUGCAAAAGUCUUAGGUAGUCUGAUUUUUGUUUUUUUUUUUAGUACAAACUUUGUUAUAGAUUUUUAUCUUCUAAAUUAUCGAGUCAGUACAAAAACAUGUCCGAUUUCCAAACAUUAGUUUUCCAGCACAAAAUUCACUGUUACAGAAAAAUGUUUGUAUGUCAGUAAAGAAAGCAGCGCAUUACAUAAGAGACCACUUUUCAGACACAAAACAUAAUGAAGGCUGCUGGGUUUCGCUUCAAAAAUAAGAAAUGCAACAGUCAAAGUCUCCAGAAGAACCGCGUCUGGUUCUGCAAGAUGCUCAGCAGCCUACUUACCAGUUCAUUUCCUCAUGAUACUGUGCAGAGUGUACCUGAGACUACUUUAAAAAAAAAAACAACAACACAAAUGCUAUUGACUUUGUUUUAUUUAUUACUGUUUACUCCUCUUUAUAGUAUUAUUGUAGAAUAGUAUUUUUUCCAUAGCAUUUUUUUCUUUAUAGUAUGUUUUAUUUAUUACUGUUUAUAGUAUUACUCUUUAUAGUAUAGUAUUUUUAUAGCAUUUUUUCUUUAUAGUAUGUUUUAUUUUUUACUGUUUACUGCUCUUUAUAGUUUUUUUUAUAGUAUAG